CCUACGGGAGGCAGCAGUAGGGAAUCUUCCACAAUGGACGCAAGUCUGAUGGAGCAACGCCGCGUGAGUGAAGAAGGCUUUCGGGUCGUAAAACUCUGUUGUUGGAGAAGAAUGGUCGGCAGAGUAACUGUUGUCGGCGUGACGGUAUCCAACCAGAAAGCCACGGCUAACUACGUGCCAGCAGCCGCGGUAAU
rnacentral:rRNA from 1 species